AGGGAAGAAGAGCCUCAGGUACCAGGGAAGAAGAGCCUCAGGUACCAGGGAAGAAGAGCCUCAGGUACCAGGGAAGAAGAGCCUCAGGUACCAGGGAAGAAGAGCUUCAGGUACCAGGGAAGAGCCUCAGGUACCGGGGAAGAAGAGCCUCAGGUACCAGGGAAGAAGAGCCUCAGGUACCAGGGAAGAAGAGCCUCAGGUACCAGGGAGAAGCAGAGCCUCAGGUACCGGGAAGAAGCAGAGCCUCAGGUACCGGGAAGAAGCAGAGCCUCAGGUACCGGGAAGAAGAGCUUCAGGUACCAGGGAGAAGAGCCUCAGGUACCAGGGAGAAGCACAGCCUCACGUACCGGGAAGAAGAGCCUCAGGUACCAGGGAGAAGAGCUUCAGGUACCAGGGAGAAGCAGAACCUCAGGUACCGGGAAGAAGAGCUUCAGGUACCAGGGAGAAGCAGAACCUCAGGUACCGGGAAGAAGAGCUUCAGGUACCAGGGAGAAGCAGAACCUCAGGUACCGGGAAGAAGAGCUUCAGGUACCAGGGAGAAGAGCUUCAGGUACCAGGGAGAAGAGCUUCAGGUACCAGGGAGAAGAGCUUCAGGUACCAGGGAGAAGAGCCUCAGGUACCAGGGAGAAGCAGAACCUCAGAAACCGGGAAAGUCUCACGUACCAAGAAGAGCAUCAAGUAUCAAGAAGAACCAGAGGCUCAGGUACCAGGAAGCAGCAGAGGCUCUGGUACCAGGAAGCAGCAGAGACUCAGGUACCAGGAAGCAGCAGACUCGGGUACCAGGAAUCAGCAGACUCAGGUACCAGAAAGCAGCAGACUCAGGUACCAGGAAGCAGCAGACUCAGGUACCAGGAAGCAGGUAACUCAGGUACCAGGGAGCACAAGAACACUAAGAUGAUCACCACAGACACUAAGAUUCGCUCUAAUAGUGCCAGGGAAGGACAGGUCGACAUCCGUGAAGAUGAGGACCAGGGAGUUAAGCUUUCAGAAAUUAUUGAACUUCUCGUUGCUGCUGGUUACUUCAGAGCGAGGAUCAAGGGUCUCUCACCGUUUGACAAGAUUGUUGGUGGAAUGACUUGGUGUAUAGAGACUUGCAACUUUGACGUCGACAUAGAUCUGCUUUUCCACGAGAAUCUCACCAUUGGUCAGAAAAUAGCUCUAACGGAAAGAAUUGUACGAGUUCUGCGAUCCAUGAAGUGCCCACACAGACUAGAGCCUCAUCAAAUCCAGGGCCUGGAUGCUAUACGCAUCUUUCCAGUAAUUCAGUGGCUUGUGAAGAAGGCUCUCGAAACAAGAGAAGAAUUUGGUGACGAGACCAGGAAUUUUUCAGUUUUCCAGUUCCACCAUUACUAUGUUACCCCUCAAGAAGAAAAAUUAAAGGAGUCGUUGGUCAAAGCUACCCAGACAUUAUCUGCAGUUCAGUUGGCAUAUGGUCCAAAGCGAAGAUGGCGCAGGAAAGCCUCGGCCCCACUGGAAUCCUCCAGUGUGCGAGUACACACUACACUUCUGGAGUAUGGCCAGCUGAAUUACGCUGGAUUUGGGAAUAAGCGAGAUGGCCAAGACGAAACUGAUGUUGGCAAGAACGAGCAGAUGGCGGAGGUGGAGCAGUUGAUGCAGUGUAUGGAUGUUGCAGAAGUUGUCGAGGGGAAGCUCAGUGCUCAGCAUAUUGGCAACAUAGUCAGCUCCAGGGUGCAGGAGAUUGCUGACACCUCUAAGCACUACUCCGAACUCCAGCAACAAAUUGCUGAUGAGAUCCUUGGGGAGAGUGCUUCCUCCGAGGCUCGCAUGUUGGUGUCGCUGGAGAAGCAGCAUAAAGCUGUAUCCUCACAGUUGGCUGAGGUGCAGGCUAGGCAUGCCACUGAGGCUGCCAAGGUUGAAGAAGUGAAAUCAAGAUUGCAGGAAGUUGUUCGAGAGAGAAACAAAAUAGAAACAAAAAUUGCCGAAUUGGGCGCUGUGGACACGAGUGAAAAUAAACAACUUCUGAAACGAUUGUCACAGCUAGUUGAAGAGAAUGAAAAAGCCAAGAAGAAAGAGGCUGAAUUUAAGGAUAGCUGCCGUAAGGAGUCUGAGAAGAUGAAGAAAGAGAUCAGUAACCUGCAGACACAGCUCAGAGAUAAAGAUGUUGCAGAUGAACUCACAGAGCGCCACAUAGCUGAGAAAGAGAAGUUUGCAAAGAUGAGACGUCAGUUGGCUAAGAAGACGCGGCAAGUUGAAGCGCUGAAGAGGUACAUUGACGAUGUGCCGGGCAGAGCCGAGCUCUCGCAAUAUCAGCGAAGAUUUAUAGAACUGUACAACCAAGUUGCUGCUACCCACAGAGAGACACAGCAGUUCUAUAACAUGCACAACACAUUAGCAGACACACGGUCAUAUAUGGAUAAGGAACUCUCCCUCCUCAAUUCUAUACUUGAUAAUAUGGCUAUGGCUCUGGGAAACACAGCCAACAUGGAUGAGUACCUCCAGCAGUUGGAUACUAUAGUGGAAGGUAUUAGACAAAACAAACAAAAGCUCGAGCAAAGACGUGCAGAGGAGAGAGCUCACCGCAAUACCCUUAGCGACGAGCUGAGUCGCUUGCAGGAACUAAACCGCCAGUAUGCUAAAAUUGUGCACUUGCUUGGUCAGGAAAUUAAUAAGAAUGAGAUUCUGCAUCAGAAAGUUGCUGCACGUGGCUCUUAGUAAGUUUUUUCUUUUUUAACCUGCAUGAAUUUUGAAAAUCUUGAAAUUUUACUUACUAUAAUUAGACUGUUAAAUAUGAGCAUAUUCUUUAAUAUUGUCUGUAAUAAGAUAUUUGUGAAAAUUAUCUAGUUAAUAGCCUCUUUGAUGGAAAAUGGUAGUUAAUAAUGGAAAUGCUAAAUAUAUUACUUAUUAAUGACGGUAAUUGUUGAAACUAUUAUUGUUCAAGAUAAAAUGCACAUUUUUGUGUUUGUAAGCAUUUAUACAAAGAUAUUCUAGCCAAAACAUAUGAAAUUAAAAAAAAUUAUCUAGUGUAAAGGUGCCUAUAUUUUUAUAUAGAAAUUGUGUACCAGAGAUAUGACCUUGAUGGUAGAUAACAUCUACAAAUCAUUUCACAAAGUUGAUAAAAAUAUGCCGAUUAUGUUAGCAAAGUAUUUUCUAAACAGAUGAUAACAUGUUUAAGAUUUUGUUGGGUAUGGAUUGGACUGGUGUGUAAUACAUGUACUUAUGCUUAGGAUGAUGGAGGUGCUGCACGAUAAGCAUGGGCCUAGCACUUCACAUACCAUAUUUUGCGGCUUAUUAGAUGCUUUUUUUUUCCAUAAAAUGUCUCCAAAAACCACCCUGCAUCCUCUAAACUGGAGGUCAGUGAUGGGAGCUAAGUAUGGCGUGUGGGGUGGGCUGUAGCUCUUCCAGUUACGUCCGAUGCUGAGCCAUUGAAACUAAAACAUCUAAUGCAUCAGAGCAUCUUAUAAGCCACAAAAUACUGCACUUUAGGCAAGUUAUUAUGCCAUAUGUUACAGGCUUCAGUAUAUCCAUAUUUUAUGUACAUUACAUUUUUUUAAGUAAUUUUAUUGUAACGCCCAAGGGCCAAGAGUCUACUCUUGUCUGAAUCAUUCAUAUACAGUAUGUCAUUGUUAGUGUCAACCAAACAUUUCAGCUACAAUAUCACUAUAUCCUCUUCUGCAUCAUCAGGUCUUAAGGGCAGUGAACUUUGACAAAGCUUUGAAGUUUUUACUCUGUUGUGGUCACCAGUUAAUUUAAAGAUGCUGAAGUCACCCAUGUACUGAUGUCACCCAGAUAAUGAUGUCACCACCAGGAGCUGAUGUCAUAACAAGGUACAUAUAACACAACCAGAAAUAACUCAUAACCAGUAAGAAACAACCAGUGGUAACUAGCCUCACCUGCCACUCUGGCAGCAGGAAAUAUGUUAAGAUUUAUCCUGUAUUGCAGGAAAUAUGUUAAUAUUUAUCCUGUACUACAGGAAAUAUGUUAAUAUUUAUCCUGUACUGCAGGAAAUAUGUGGAUAUUAAUCCUGUUUUGACCUCUCCAGCUCCUGGGCCUCUUAAAGGUCAUUUCCAGCACCUUUGCUUCACAAAUUUUCAUCUCCAGCUGUUAGAUCCCUUGGGAGGCUUUAAGAAUAGCUCCUAGGCCCUUUGAGGGAGUUGAGCUAAAGCUCCUGGGCCUCUUGAAAGUUUUGUGAUUCAAAUUACUAGGCCUCAAAGACCCAAAUGAAGAUAAGUCAUAUUGAAAGAGAAUAUGAAAUUUACGUUGUGAGAGAAUCAAAGACCAGCUCAGUUUCUUUCAGUUAUCUAAGAAUAAGAUUACAGGGAAAAGAUAAUCCCACUUAUAUGUAACUCAGGUCAACUCACAGUUACAUAGAUGUAUGCCAUAGCCUACACUUAUUUCCCAGUGUUUACAGAAUCCAAAAAAAAUUUUGUCAUCAAGAUUCAAACAAUUCUGUCAUCAAUUAUUAUAUAUCAGGAUGAAAAACUACGCAGUUUUGAAGUCCAUAGUGACAUGUUCUUCAAACAACUGUAAAGAUUGAAAUUACAAGCAUUGUAAUGUAAGAAGGAACUCUGUGAACCAUUAACAAAUGAUCAUACACAAGACACUGGUAACCCAACUGAAUGGUCGAAUAGUAGAUUAAAGCCACAGAACAGAUAGUCACAAAAGAGACUGUUAACAUAACAGACAAUGGUAAUUUCUCUCUCUAUCUUGACUAUUAUCUGUUAAGUCAUGAAAAAGGCACUGGUUAUGAAACAAGAAAUGGCUGCUGUUCAUAAAAGCAACACUGGUCAUAUAAUAAAAAAUAUACAAAAUAGCAAUAGUUGCACAAAAAGACAAAAAAGGCAAUCCAUGUCAAAACCUAUGAAGCAGAAAAAUUAUAUAAAGGCAAAACAGCGGAGCUUUGCCCACAAGAUGCAGUCAACAAAAUAAAAUAUUCAGGCCAGACUGAAACCUACACAGGAAUAAUGUUAACAGUUCAGUGAAAAUUAAUGGGGUUAUAUACAUAACCAUGGUCUGGUAGGCAACACUCUCACCUCACACAAUGAGUGUCUGUGAUUCAAUCCAUGACUGGAUGUAAACAUUGGGCAUGUUUCCUUGCACCUGCUUUGUCUGUUUACCUAGCCAGCAAGUUGGUACCUAGAUGUUAGUGGACUGGUGUGGGUGGCAUCCUGGGAGACAAGACUGAAGCACCACAAUGGAAAUAAGACAGACAGUCCUCAAUGAUGCAUUGGCUUUCUUGAGCUAUCCUGGGUGACUAACCCUCCAGGGUUAAAAAACCCAACAAAAUCUCUCUCUUAUCUUAUUCAACUUGAACAAGGGUAUCCUGUAACACUGUAUCAUGAUGAAAUAAACAUUAUUAUUAUUCAG